rnacentral:rRNA from 1 species
UACAGAGGGGGCAAGCGUUGUUCGGAAUUACUGGGCGUAAAGGGCGCGUAGGCGGCCCGCUAAGUCGAACGUGAAAUCCCUGGGCUCAACCCAGGAACUGCGUCCGAUACUGGCAGGCUUGAAUCCGGGAGAGGGAUGUGGAAUUCCAGGUGUAGCGGUGAAAUGCGUAGAUAUCUGGAGGAACACCGGUGGCGAAGGCGGCAUCCUGGACCGGUAUUGACGCUGAUGCGCGAAAGCCAGGGGAGCAAACAGG